rnacentral:tRNA from 1 species
GCCUAGGUAGCUCAGUGGUAGAGCACAACUCUGAAAAAGUUGGGGUCGGUGGUUCGAUUCCACUCCUAGGCA